rnacentral:rRNA from 1 species
GGCGCGAGCCCGACCUCCAACCCCAUGUUUUCAACCAUGUUGCCUCGGGGGCGACCCGGCCACCGCGCCGGGGCCCCCGGCGGACCCCUCAACUCUGCAUCUCUGCGUCUGAGUCACAAAAUAAAAUCAAUCAAAACUUUCAACAACGGAUCUCUUGGUUCUGGCAUCGAUGAAGAACGCAGCGAAAUGCGAUAAGUAAUGUGAAUUGCAGAAUUCAGUGAAUCAUCGAAUCUUUGAACGCACAUUGCGCCCUCUGGUAUUCCGGAGGGCAUGCCUGUUCGAGCGUCAUUACACCACUCCAGCCUCGCUGGGUAUUGGGCGCCGCGGCCUCCGCGCGCCUUAAUGUCUCCGGCCGAGCCGACCGUCUCUAAGCGUUGUGGCACAACUGUUUCGCUUUCGGGACCGGUCUGGCGACGCGCCGUUAAACCCUUUCACCAAAGGUUGACCUCGGAUCAGGUAGGGAUACCCGCUGAACUUAAGCAUAUCAAUAAGCGGAGGAAAAGAAACCAACAGGGAUUGCCCUAGUAACGGCGAGUGAAGCGGCAACAGCUCAAAUUUGAAAUCUGGCGCAAGCCCGAGUUGUAAUUUGUAGAGGAUGCUUCAGGGCAGCGGCCGGUCUAAGUUCCUUGGAACAGGACGUCAUAGAGGGUGAGAAUCCCGUAUGCGACCGGUUGGCACCCGUCACGUAGCUCCUUCGACGAGUCGAGUUGUUUGGGAAUGCAGCUCUAAAUGGGAGGUAAAUUUCUUCUAAAGCUAAAUACCGGCCAGAGACCGAUAGCGCACAAGUAGAGUGAUCGAAAGAUGAAAAGCACUUUGGAAAGAGAGUUAAAAAGCACGUGAAAUUGUAAAGCACGUGAAAUUGUUGAAAGGGAAGCGCAUGCAACCAGACUUGU